rnacentral:rRNA from 1 species
UGGAUCCAGACUUGAUUCUGGCUCAGGACGAACGCUGGAGGCAUGCCUAAGACAUGCAAGUCGAACGAGAAGGCCCAUUGAUUAAGAUUGAAAGUUUGCGUGCUUGCACAAAGACCGGAUUUCUUAUGAUUUGGAUUUUCCUUCUAGUGGCAAACGGGUGAGUAACACGUGGGUUACCUACCUCUAAGUUGGGGAUAACAGUUGGAAACGAUUGCUAAUACCGAAUGUGCUCUACGGAGUAAAGAAGCCCUUAAAGCUUCGCUUAGAGAUGGGCCUGCGGCGUAUUAGCUAGUUGGUGGGGUAACGGCCUACCAAGGCGACGAUGCGUAGCCGAACUGAGAGGUUGAUCGGCCACACUGGGACUGAGACACGGCCCAGACUCCUACGGGAGACAGCAGUUAGGAAUAUUCGUCAAUGGGGGAAACCCUGAACGAGCAAUGCCGCGUGAGUGAUGACGGCCCUAUGGGUUGUAAAACUCUGUUGUUUGGAAAGAAUUGUAAGGAUAGGAAAUGAUCUUUACUUGACGGUACCAUUCAAGAAAGCCACGGCUAACUACGUGCCAGCAGCCGCGGUAAUACGUAGGUGGCGAGCGUUAUCCGGAUUUAUUGGGCGUAAAGGGUGCGCAGGCGGUCUAUUAAGUCUAAGAUGAAAGCCCGAAGCUUAACUUCGGUUUGUUUUAGAAACUGGUAGACUUGAGUAUGGUAGAGGCAAACGGAAUUCCUAGUGUAGCGGUGGAAUGCGUAGAUAUUAGGAGGAACACCAGUGGCGAAGGCGGUUUGCUGGGCCAUUACUGACGCUCAUGCACGAAAGCGUGGGGAGCAAAUAGGAUUAGAUACCCUAGUAGUCCACGCCGUAAACGAUGAGUACUAAGUGUCGGGUUACCGGUGCUGAAGUUAACACAUUAAGUACUCCGCCUGAGUAGUACGGUCGCAAGGCUGCAACUCAAAUGAAUUGACGGA